CGGCGGAGACCUAGGCACCCANNNNNNNNNNNNNNNGCAGAUACCGGCGAUACGCGUCGGGGAGCUGGUAACAAGCUUUGAUCCGAUGAUUCCCGAAUAGGGCAACCUCUAGAACUUCCUAUGAAUUCAUAAGUAGGAUAGAGACAACCCAGUGAAUUGAAACAUCUUAGUAGCUGGAGGAAAAGAAAGCAAACGCGAUUCCCGUAGUAGCGGCGAGCGAACCGGGAUCAGCCUAAACCUGUAAAAAGGGGUAGUGGGAAGACUAUAAAUUCUAAUUUCCUAGCUAGCCGUUUUUGCUUGUUUUUUUUAUUUUUAAUUUUAUUAAAAAUAAAAAAAAGAAAAAAAAAAAAAGGCCAGCGCUGCAAGCAACAUACCUGCGGCGCUGGCCGUAUGGCCAAAAGCUAAAAGAAAGAGAGUAUAAGACGAAGCAGCUGAAUCCUGCACCAUAGAUGGUGAAAGUCCAGUAGUUAUAAACAUCUACUUUUUUAACUGCCCCCUUUACUAGCCUAAACUAAGGAUGGCCGUCUGGCCAGGGGGGUAGGUGGAAAAUAAAGAAAAAGUCAUAUCCCGAGUAGCAUGGGACACGUGGAAUCCCGUGUGAAUCAGCGAGGACCACCUCGUAAGGCUAAAUACUCCUGGGUGACCGAUAGUGCAAAGUACCGCGAGGGAAUGGUGAUAAGAACCCCUGUAGGGGAGUGAAAUAGAACAUGAAACCGUAAGCUGACAAGCAGUGGGAGCAAGUUAACUUGUGACCGCGUGCCUGUUGAAGAAUGAGCCGGCGACUUAUAGGAAGUGGCAAGGUUAAGGAGUAAAAUCCGGAGCCUUAGCGAAAGCGAGUCUUAAUAGGGCGAAUAAAGAGUCACUUUCUAUGGACCCGAACCCGGGUGAUCUAAUCAUGACCAGGAUGAAGCUUGGGUAACACCAAGUGGAGGUCCGAACCGACCGAUGUUGAAAAAUCGGCGGAUGAGUUGUGAUUAGGGGAGAAAUUCCAAUCGAACUCGGAGCUAGCUGGAUCUCCCCGAAAUGCGUUGAGGCGCAGCGGUGACUAUGAGCUAUCUAGAGGUAAAGCUACUGUUUCGAUGCGGGCUGCGAAAGCGGUACCAAGUCGUGGCAAACUCAGAAUACUAGAUAAAGCCUUCAGUCAACCAGUGAGAUUGGUUGGGAUAAGCUAAUCAAUCAAGAGGGAAACAGCCCAGAUCACCAGCUAAGGCCCCUAAAUGGUCACUAAGUGGAAAAGGAUGUGAGAAUGCUGAAACAACCAGGAGGUUUGCUUAGAAGCAGCCACCCUUGAAAGAGUGCGUAAUAGCUCACUGGUAAAGCGUUCUUGCGCCGACAAUGGCCGGGACUAAGUGACCUGCCGAAGCUGUGAUAUUUGAUUUUUUAUGCUUUUUUAGCUUUAAUUCGCUCCGCGGGUUUUUGGCCGUCUGGCCAUGCUUAGCCGACAGUAGAAAAACAGCUAAAAAGCUCAAAAAAAACAAAUAGGUAGGGGAGCGUUCCGUUAUCGGGUGAAGUUUUCACGUAAGUGAGGAUGGACGAAGCGGAAGUGAGAAUGUUGGCUUGAGUAACGAAAACAUUGGUGAGAAUCCAAUGCCCCGAAAACCUAAGGGUUCCUCCACUAGGCUCGUCCAUGGGGGGUUAGUCAGGUCCUAAGGCUAGUUAGAUUAUUCUAAGUCGUCGAUGGGAAACAGGUUAAUAUUCCUGUACUGAUUUUAUUGGGAACCAAGGGACGAAGGAGACUAAACUGAAACUGCUACUGGAUUUCAGUGGAAGCAUUAAGGUGUUGAUGGCUAGAAUAAAAACUAUGCUUGAGCUGAGAUGUGAUCCCUAUCAUCACCUAUGGUGAUGGUAGUCAGUGAUGUCAAACUUCCAAGAAAAGCUUGAACACCAUAACAAUAAAAUCACCUGUACCUGAAACCGACACAGGUAGGUUGGUAGAGAAUACCAAGGGGCGCGAGAGAACUCUCUCUAAGGAACUAGGCAAACUGGCCCCGUAACUUCGGAAGAAGGGGCACCCUCUUUCUUUUAAAAAUCAAAGAGGGUCGCAGUGACCAGGCCCAGGCGACUGUUUAUCAAAAACACAGGUCUCCGCAAAGUCGUAAGACAAUAUAUGGGGGCUGACGCCUGCCCAGUGCCGGAAGGUUAAGGAAGUUGGUUAUUAAGUAAUUAAGAAGCUGACGACCGAAGCCCCGGUGAACGGCGGUCGUAACUAUAACGAUCCUAAGGUAGCGAAAUUCAUUGCCAAGUAAGUUUUGGCCUGCACGAAAGGCGUAACGAUCUGGGCGCUGUCUCGGAGAGAGACUCGGUGAAAUAGACUUGUCCCGUGAAGAUGCGGACUACCUACACUUGGACAGAAAGACCCUAUGAAGCUUGACUGUAUCCUGGAAUUGGGUUCGGGCUUUUCUUGCGCAGCCUAGGUGGGAGGCUAUGAAGGUUCCCUUCCGGGGGAAUUUGAGCCAUCAUUGAGAGACCACUCUGGAAGAGCUAGAAUCCUAAUGGUGAUCUUUGAAUCAAGACACUUGACAGUUUCAGGUGGGCAGUUUAUCUGGGGCGGAUGCCUCCUAAAGCGUAACGGAGGCGUGCAAAGGUUCUCUCAGUCUGGACGGAAAUCAGACAUUGAGUGCAAAGGCAAAAGAGAGCUUGACUGUAAGACCAACAAGUCGAGCAGGGGCGAAAGCCGGCCUUAGUGAUCCGACGGUGCCGCGUGGAAGGGCCGUCGCUCAACGGAUAAAAGUUACUCUAGGGAUAACAGGCUGAUCUUCCCCAAGAGUUCACAUCGACGGGAAGGUUUGGCACCUCGAUGUCGGCUCAUCACAUCCUGGAGCGGCAGUACGUUCCAAGGGUUGGGCUGUUCGCCCAUUAAAGUGGUACGUGAGCUGGGUUCAAAACGUCGUGAGACAGUUCGGUCCAUAUCCG
rnacentral:rRNA from 1 species